rnacentral:rRNA from 1 species
CCUACGGGUGGCAGCAGUCGAGAAUCAUUCACAAUGGGGGAAACCCUGAUGGUGCGACGCCGCGUGGGGGAAUGAAGGUCUUCGGAUUGUAAACCCCUGUCAUGUGGGAGCAAAUUAAAAAGAUAGUACCACAAGAGGAAGAGACGGCAAACUCGGCGCCAGCAGCCGCGGUAAUACAGAGGUCUCAAGAGGUGUUCGGAAUCACUGGGGGUAAAGCGGGCGUAGGCUGUUGCGUAAGGCAUGUGUGAAAGGCGGGGGCUCAACCCGCAGACGGCACAUGAUACUGAGAGACGAGAGUACUGGCGGGGGAACCGGAAUUCGCGGUGUAGCAGUGAAAUGCUUAGAUAUCGAGAGGAACACUCGUGGCGAAGGCAGGUUCCUGGACAUUAACUGACACUGAGGCACGAAAGCCAGGGGAGCGAAAGGGAUUAGAUACCCUAGUAGUC